rnacentral:rRNA from 1 species
AUGAAGCACAUCAAGUACACGGCAAAGGACGCCUAUGCAGCAACAAACACGAGAGAGCAGAGGAGAGUCAUGGCGGAUGCACCUCUUUACAAGCAGCGCCGCACGUACACCAGGGAGCUCCACGACGUCGACCUCCACGGCAACCACAAGCUCCACGUCGUUUGCACAAGCAAGGGUGAAGACGUAGACAAGAUGUUGUCCACGCUCAGGAGGAAGCUCGGUGGAAUGCCGUCAAACUAG